AUAGCCAUAUCAUGUUGAAACACUGGUUCUUGUCCGAUCACCGAGGUUAAGCAACGUCGAGACUGGUCGGUACCUACAUGGGCGACCGCUUGGGAAUACCAGGUGCCGUAAU